UACGUAGGGGGCUAGCGUUGUCCGGAAUCAUUGGGCGUAAAGCGCGUGUAGGCGGUCCGGUAAGUCCGCUGUGAAAGUCGGGGCUCAACCCUCGGAUGCCGGUGGAUACUGUCGGGCUUGAGUACGGAAGAGGCGAGUGGAAUUCCUGGUGUAGCGGUGAAAUGCGCAGAUAUCGGGAGGAACACCAAUUGCGAAGGCAGCUCGCUGGGACGUUACUGACGCUGAGACGCGAAAGCGUGGGGAGCAAACAGG
rnacentral:rRNA from 1 species